rnacentral:rRNA from 1 species
GACGAACGCUGGCGGCGUGCCUAAUACAUGCAAGUCGAGCGGAACUGGGGGAGCUUGCUCCUUCCAGUUUAGCGGCGGACGGGUGAGUAACACGUGGGCAACCUGCCCUGCAGAUCGGGAUAACUCCGGGAAACCGGUGCUAAUACCGAAUAGUUUGGCGCCUCUCCUGAGGCGCUACGGAAAGACGGUUUCGGCUGUCACUGCAGGAUGGGCCCGCGGCGCAUUAGCUAGUUGGUGGGGUAACGGCCCACCAAGGCGACGGGGGGUAGCCGACCUGAGAGGGUGCCCGGCCACACUGGGACUGAGACACGGCCCAGACUCCUACGGGGGGCAGCAGGAGGGAAUCUUCCGCAAUGGACGCAAGUCUGACGGAGCAACGCCGCGUGAGUGACGAAGGUUUUCGGAUCGUAAAACUCUGUUGGGAGGGAAGAACACGUACCAACUAACUAUUGGUACCUUGACGGUACCUCACCAGAAAGCCACGGCUAACUACGUGCCAGCAGCCGCCGUAA